rnacentral:misc_RNA from 1 species
CCGAGUCCUCCUGCUUCUGCAGGAACUCCCACACUUGAAUCCCCUAAAAUAAGGGUUCUUCGGCGAGACGUUGGAAACGGCCAUUGGCGUCGAACAGUUUCAGUUCGACGACGAUGUGAUCUCGCCGGAGUUUCAUACUCUGCAUAUUGUACUGUCAGUAAAAACAAGCAAUAAAUAA